rnacentral:rRNA from 1 species
UUCUUUCCUCCCGAGUGCUUGCACUCAAUUGGAAAGAGGAGAGGACGGACGGGUGAGCUAACACGCUGGGUAACCUACCCAUCAGAGGGGGAUAACACCUUGGAAACAGGUGCUAAUACCGCAUAACAGUUUAUGCCGCAUGGCAUAAGAGUGAAAGGCGCUUUCGGGUGUCGCUGAUGGAUGGACCCGCGGCUGCAUUAGCUAGUUGGUGAGGUAACGGCUCACCAAGGCCACGAUGCAUAGCCGACCUGAGAGGGUGAUCGGCCAUACUGGGACUGAGACACGGCCCAGACUCCUACGGGAGGCAGCAGUAGGGAAUCUUCGGCAAUGGACGAAAGUCUGACCGAGCAACGCCGCGUGAGUGAAGAAGGUUUUCGGAUCGUAAAACUCUGUUGUUAGAGAAGAACAAGGACGUUAGUAACUGAACGUCCCCUGACGGUAUCUAACCAGAAAGCCACGGCUAACUACGUGCCAGCAGCCGCGGUAAUACGUAGGUGGCAAGCGUUGUCCGGAUUUAUUGGGCGUAAAGCGAGCGCAGGCGGUUUCUUAAGUCUGAUGUGAAAGCCCCCGGCUCAACCGGGGAGGGUCAUUGGAAACUGGGAGACUUGAGUGCAGAAGAGGAGAGUGGAAUUCCAUGUGUAGCGGUGAAAUGCGUAGAUAUA